rnacentral:rRNA from 1 species
CCUACGGGAGGCAGCAGUGGGGAAUAUUGCACAAUGGGGGGAACCCUGAUGCAGCGACGCCGCGUGAGGGAAGAAGGUUUUCGGAUUGUAAACCUCUGUCCUUGGUGACGAUAAUGACGGUAGCCAAGGAGGAAGCCACGGCUAACUACGUGCCAGCAGCCGCGGUAAUACGUAGGUGGCAAGCGUUGUCCGGAAUUACUGGGUGUAAAGGGAGCGUAGGCGGGGAAGCAAGUUGAAUGUUAAAUCUAUGGGCUCAACCCAUAGUAGCGUUCAAAACUGUUUUUCUUGAGUGAAGUAGAGGCAAGCGGAAUUCCUAGUGUAGCGGUGAAAUGCGUAAAUAUUAGGAGGAACACCAGUGGCGAAGGCGGCUUGCUGGGCUUUAACUGACGCUGAGGCUCGAAAGCGUGGGUAGCAAACAGGAUUAGAUACCCUUGUAGUC